UUUCUUUGGUGUUCCUGUAGGUGAUCAUGAUGCAGCCAGACUGAAGCAGCAGGUUGUGAAGGUGGACGCCAUCAUCUUGUCUUUGCAGCGCUGAUUCUGAAGAGAACGCCUUCAUAUAGGACUCAAAGGUAAAAUUGUCUCUCAUAUGAUUGGACUGUGUUAUUGUAACCGCUAUCAGCAUCAAAGUAAUUUUAGUAACAAUUUAUAAUCCUUCUUAAAAUGUAAGGAAGACUAGCAGAAGAUUUUAACAGCCUCUAUGGUUCUGCAAGAAGUCUAGUUCAUGUUUAAAUUGUUCUUCUUUCUGUCUUCAAGGAAAUCAGUGCUGAAAGGAAACAGCAGUCCAGACUCUGAUUCCAGCUCCGAAGAUGCCCUCAGAUUCAGAUCCAUCAACAACCCCUGACAACAUGGAGGACUCGUCCCCUGAGCGUUUCCUGUCCUCUCUCGAUGGAGUUCUUCUCUUCAGUUAUUAACUCUUGAAAACAGCAGCACAACAUGCCAGACUGUUUGACAAGUCUGUGAUUGAAUAAAUUGAAAUGGAAUCUCA